rnacentral:tRNA from 1 species
UCCGGGGUAGCUCAGUUGGCAGAGCAUCGGACUGUUAAUCCGCAGGUCGUGGGUUCGAGCCCCACCCCCGGAGCCA